UACGGGGGGGGCAAGCGUUGUUCGGAAUUACUGGGCGGAAAGGGCUCGUAGGCGGCCAACUAAGUCAGACGUGAAAUCCCCAGGCUCAACCUGGGAACUGCGUCUGAUACUGAUUGGCUUGAAUCCGGGAGAGGGAUGCAGAAUUCCAGGUGUAGCGGUGAAAUGCGUAGAUAUCUGGAGGAAUACCGGUGGCGAAGGCGGCAUCCUGGACCGGCAUUGACGCUGAGGAGCGAAAGCCAGGGGAGCAAACGGG
rnacentral:rRNA from 1 species